rfam:Sphaerobolus stellatus SS14 unplaced genomic scaffold SPHSTscaffold_158, whole genome shotgun sequence.
UCCGAUAUGGUGUAGUGGCUAACAUUAUCGCCUCUCAUGUGAUUGCUUAACGGUACCGUUUAGAACGCGAUAGCCCGGGGUUCAAUUCCCCGUGUCGGAA